rnacentral:rRNA from 1 species
GUGGGGAAUAUUGGACAAUGGGCGAAAGCCUGAUCCAGCCAUGCCGCGUGUGUGAAGAAGGUCUUCGGAUUGUAAAGCACUUUAAGUUGGGAGGAAGGGCAGUAAGUUAAUACCUUGCUGUUUUGACGUUACCGACAGAAUAAGCACCGGCUAACUUCGUGCCAGCAACCGCGGUAAUACGAAGGGUGCAAGCGUUAAUCGGAAUUACUGGGCGUAAAGCGCGCGUAGGUGGUUUUGUAAGUUGGAGGUGAAAUCCCCGGGCUCAACCUGGGAACUGCCUCCAGAACUGCAUGACUAGAGUACGGUAGAGGGUAGUGGAAUUUCCUGGGUAGCGGUGAAAUGCGUAGAUAUAGGAAGGAACACCAGUGGCGAAGGCGACUACCUGGACUGAUACUGACACUGAGGUGCGAAAGCGUGGGGAGCAAACAGGAUUAGAAACCCCGGUAGUCC